rnacentral:rRNA from 1 species
GAUGAACGCUGGCGGCGUGCCUAAUACAUGCAAGUCGAGCGAACGGACGAGAAGCUUGCUCCUCUGAUGUUAGCGGCGGACGGGUGAGUAACACGUGGAUAACCUACCUAUAAGACUGGGAUAACUUCGGGAAACCGGAGCUAAUACCGGAUAAUAUUUUGAACCGCAUGGUUCAAAAGUGAAAGACGGUCUUGCUGUCACUUAUAGAUGGAUCCGCGCUGCAUUAGCUAGUUGGUAAGGUAACGGCUUACCAAGGCAACGAUGCAUAGCCGACCUGAGAGGGUGAUCGGCCACACUGGAACUGAGACACGGUCCAGACUCCUACGGGAGGCAGCAGUAGGGAAUCUUCCGCAAUGGGCGAAAGCCUGACGGAGCAACGCCGCGUGAGUGAUGAAGGUCUUCGGAUCGUAAAACUCUGUUAUUAGGGAAGAACAUAUGUGUAAGUAACUGUGCACAUCUUGACGGUACCUAAUCAGAAGGCCACGGCUAACUACGUG